GACGAACGCUGGCGGGGUGCUUAACACAUGCAAGUCGAACGGAAAGGCCCUGCUUUUGUGGGGUGCUCGAGUGGCGAACGGGUGAGUAACACGUGAGUAACCUGCCCUUGACUUUGGGAUAACUUCAGGAAACUGGGGCUAAUACCGGAUAGGAGCUCCUGCUGCAUGGUGGGGGUUGGAAAGUUUCGGCGGUUGGGGAUGGACUCGCGGCUUAUCAGCUUGUUGGUGGGGUAGUGGCUUACCAAGGCUUUGACGGGUAGCCGGCCUGAGAGGGUGACCGGCCACAUUGGGACUGAGAUACGGCCCAGACUCCUACGGGAGGCAGCAGUGGGGAAUAUUGCACAAUGGGCGGAAGCCUGAUGCAGCAACGCCGCGUGCGGGAUGACGGCCUUCGGGUUGUAAACCGCUUUCGCCUGUGACGAAGCGUGAGUGACGGUAAUGGGUAAAGAAGCACCGGCUAACUAC
rnacentral:rRNA from 1 species